CAUACAGGCCCAAGUCCUGUGUGCUCGAGCAUAACUGUCCCUGGUCAAUUCUCUCCACAAAGCGCUGUCUUCUUCUCGCGUGCCUGAGUCCAGGGGUUCCCUGAGGAGUCAUGGGAUCCACACUAUGGCAACUGGGCCCAGGCGCCAGGAUGAGAGCAGGAAACCAGUCGGGCGUUGAUAGCGUCCUGCCGAAGGCUGGCACUGAGCGUGCUAGGUGAAGUCUGUUCCAGGCUGUGGGAGCCCGGGUGGUCGAAAACUCAGGGCUCAGUUUGGCUCCUCUUUCUUGCUCUCCUGGCUCUGACACUCUAGGUCACCACAAUAACAACUCCGGAAACCUAAAGACUUGUGGUUCAGCCAUCUGCACUUCAGGCAUGGCAGCUCCGCAGCUCUCUCCAGCCUCGCAGAGGCUGGUUCUUUGUUGAAAUCCAUAUCAAAUCCUGCAAAGGUUUUCCUUCAAGCCAGCAGUCUAGGGUUGCAGAACUUUUCUACUAUGGAUGAGUGGUUGAAAACAUAAAGGUUCUUAAAAGCAAGCGUUUAAAUCACACAAAACCCCCAAAGAAGAAACGGAUUAAAACACCUGAAUUUAACUGAUUUUUUUUUCUUUUUGGUAAAGCAAUGGCUUCAAGUG
rnacentral:lncRNA from 1 species